GAGAGAGAGAGAGAGAGAGAGAGAGAGAGGUGCUUCUGAUUGGAUUGGAGGCAGUGCUGAAGAGGCACUGAGACACAGUGAGACAGAACGAGAGGGCACGAAUGCAGUUUACACAUUAGCCCAGCUGCCAAAAUUACAGCAAGCUCAGUUUUGCCGGACUGGAACUGGGGGGGUGUGAAACGGGAGGAUGGCAAGGACGCAGAAAAUGAAGAGAACCCACCAUUGCAUUCUCUUGGGAAAUGAUCUGUGGUGAAUAAACAGAAACCGCAGAAGAGACUGAGAGGGAGAGCGAAAACGGGGGAAAAAAAGAGGAGGAGGGGAGAGCCUAGCAUCCUCUGAGCACAGCAGACUUGCAGUGUCGCAAGUGAAGAAAAAAAGAGCCACGGGCUGUUUCCUGCUUCGUAAAGGCCCAUUUCUCCACCCUUGACGUGGCUUACUGCUCCUGCCUGCUGACAGCAAGUUCUUCUUCCAUACAUCCCCAGACGCUCUCAGAAUGCACCUACUUUCCU